rnacentral:ncRNA from 2 species
AUCUUAUCAAGAGAAGCAGAGGGACUGGCCCAAAGACGCUUCAGCAACCAGCCGAUGGGCAAGGUGCUACUUCCAGCAGUAUGCCGAAAUGGCACACUGAAAGAUGAGAG